GUGACUGCGUACCUUUUGUAUAAUGGGUCAGCGACUUAUAUUCUGUAGCAAGGUUAACCGAAUAGGGGAGCCGGAGGGAAACCGAGUCUUAAUUGGGCGUUAAGUUGCAGGGUAUAGACCCGAAACCCGGUGAUCUAGCCAUGGGCAGGUUGAAGGUUGGGUAACACUAACUGGAGGACCGAACCGACUAAUGUUGAAAAAUUAGCGGAUGACCUGUGGCUGGGGGUGAAAGGCCAAUCAAACCGGGAGAUAGCUGGUUCUCCCCGAAAGCUAUUUAGGUAGCGCCUCGUGAAUUCAUCUCCGGGGGUAGAGCACUGUUUCGGCUAGGGGGCCAUCCCGGCUUACCAACCCGAUGCAAACUGCGAAUACCGGAGAAUGUUAUCACGGGAGACACACGGCGGGUGCUAACGUCCGUCGUGAAGAGGGAAACAACCCAGACCGCCAGCUAAGGUCCCAAAGUCAUGGUUAAGUGGGAAACGAUGUGGGAAGGCCCAGACAGCCAGGAUGUUGGCUUAGAAGCAGCCAUCAUUUAAAGAAAGCGUAAUAGCUCACUGGUCGAGUCGGCCUGCGCGGAAGAUGUAACGGGGCUAAACCAUGCACCGAAGCUGCGGCAGCGACGCUGAUGCGUUGUUGGGUAGGGGAGCGUUCUGUAAGCCUGCGAAGGUGGCCUGUGAGGGUUGCUGGAGGUAUCAGAAGUGCGAAUGCUGACAUAAGUAACGAUAAAGCGGGUGAAAAGCCCGCUCGCCGGAAGACCAAGGGUUCCUGUCCAACGUUAAUCGGGGCAGGGUGAGUCGACCCCUAAGGCGAGGCCGAAAGGCGUAGUCGAUGGGAAACGGGUUAAUAUUCCCGUACUUGGUGUUACUGCGAAGGGGGGACGGAGAAGGCUAUGUUGGCCGGGCGACGGUUGUCCCGGUUUAAGCGUGUAGGUGUGUGUUCCAGGUAAAUCCGGUUCACUUUAACACUGAGGCGUGAUGACGAGGCACUACGGUGCUGAAGCAACAAAUGCCCUGCUUCCAGGAAAAGCCUCUAAGCAUCAGGUAACAUCAAAUCGUACCCCAAACCGACACAGGUGGUCAGGUAGAGAAUACCAAGGCGCUUGAGAGAACUCGGGUGAAGGAACUAGGCAAAAUGGUGCCGUAACUUCGGGAGAAGGCACGCUGACACGUAGGUGAAGUGAUUUACUCAUGGAGCUGAAGUCAGUCGAAGAUACCAGCUGGCUGCAACUGUUUAUUAAAAACACAGCACUGUGCAAACACGAAAGUGGACGUAUACGGUGUGACGCCUGCCCGGUGCCGGAAGGUUAAUUGAUGGGGUCAGCGCAAGCGAAGCUCCUGAUCGAAGCCCCGGUAAACGGCGGCCGUAACUAUAACGGUCCUAAGGUAGCGAAAUUCCUUGUCGGGUAAGUUCCGACCUGCACGAAUGGCGUAAUGAUGGCCAGGCUGUCUCCACCCGAGACUCAGUGAAAUUGAACUCGCUGUGAAGAUGCAGUGUACCCGCGGCAAGACGGAAAGACCCCGUGAACCUUUACUAUAGCUUGACACUGAACAUUGAGCCUUGAUGUGUAGGAUAGGUGGGAGGCUUUGAAGUGUGGACGCCAGUCUGCAUGGAGCCGGCCUUGAAAUACCACCCUUUAAUGUUUGAUGUUCUAACGUGGACCCGUGAUCCGGGUUGCGGACAGUGUCUGGUGGGUAGUUUGACUGGGGCGGUCUCCUCCUAAAGAGUAACGGAGGAGCACGAAGGUUGGCUAAUCCUGGUCGGACAUCAGGAGGUUAGUGCAAUGGCAUAAGCCAGCUUGACUGCGAGCGUGACGGCGCGAGCAGGUGCGAAAGCAGGUCAUAGUGAUCCGGUGGUUCUGAAUGGAAGGGCCAUCGCUCAACGGAUAAAAGGUACUCCGGGGAUAACAGGCUGAUACCGCCCAAGAGUUCAUAUCGACGGCGGUGUUUGGCACCUCGAUGUCGGCUCAUCACAUCCUGGGGCUGAAGUAGGUCCCAAGGGUAUGGCUGUUCGCCAUUUAAAGUGGUACGCGAGCUGGGUUUAGAACGUCGUGAGACAGUUCGGUCCCUAUCUGCCGUGGGCGCUGGAGAACUGAGGGGGGCUGCUCCUAGUACGAGAGGACCGGAGUGGACGCAUCACUGGUGUUCGGGUUGUCAUGCCAAUGGCACUGCCCGGUAGCUAAAUGCGGAAGAGAUAAGUGCUGAAAGCAUCUAAGCACGAAACUUGCCCCGAGAUGAGUUCUCCCUGAGACUUAGAGUCUCCUGAAGGAACGUUGAAGACGACGACGUUGAUAGGCCGGGUGUGUAAGCGCAGCGAUGCGUUGAGCUAACCGGUACUAAUGAACCGUGAGGCUUAACCUUAC
rnacentral:rRNA from 1 species